AAAAAAAAAUUGGAAAAGAAUAUCACAGAGCUGGUGUGCCCUUCUCUUUGCAUUAUGUUAGGAAGCGGUUUGUUAAGGUGGUGUCUGCUAGGUUUAUUUUCAGAUUCCAAUUGUUUAUUGCUUGUAAUAGGAGUACAACUGACUUUCAUAUAAUGAUGUGUUCUGCGUCCUUGCCAAAUUCGUUUUUAGUUCCUGUUGUUUGUUGCAAGUCCUUUUAGAUUUUCUACAUAGUCAUAUCUUCUGCAAAUAUAGUUUUACUCCUUUCUUUCCAAUCUGUGUAUCUUAUAUUUUUAAUUCAUUCAGCUGGAUAGGACUUCCAAUACAGUGUUGAUUAGGAGUAAUGUGAGUGGACAUCCUUACCUCUUCCUGAUCUUUGGACAAAAGCACUCAGUUUCUCACCAUUAGGUAGGAUGUUAGUUGUAUAUGCCAUUUUAUUAGGUUAAGGAAUCUCCCUCCUGUCUCUAGUUUGCUGAGCAUUUAUAUUAUAAAUGUUCAAUUUGGUCAAAUUUGUCUUCUGUAUCUGCUGAAACAAUCAUAUAGUGUUUUGUAUUAUGUUUGUAAUAGGGAUUACAUUGUUUAUUAAGACAGCCUUUCGUUCCUCAGAUGAACCAUGUAUUAUUUUUAUAUACUGCUGGAUUCAGUUUGCUGAAAUUUUAUUGAUGAAUUUUACAUCUAUGUUUAUGAGGGAUAUUGUCAGUGGUUUUCUUCUCAUGUCUUUGAUUUUGGUUUUACAGUAAUGUUAGCCUCAUAAUAUGAGUUGAGAAGUGUUCCUUCUCUAUUUUCUUGAAGAUACUGCAUAGAAUUAGAAUUUUCCUAUAAAACCAUCUGGGCCUUGAGAGUUUUUGGAAAGUUUUAAAUACAGAUACAAUUACUUUCUUUAUACCUACUAUUUAUUCUUGAGUUUGAUAGUUUGUAUUCUUGAAGGAAUUUUGUUCUGUAGUGGAGAUAGAGGGGAAAGAUCUUGGUGGAGUUUCAGCCUCAUGCAGAGCUGCUAUUCCCCUACCCUGGGUCUCCACCACAGUGGAUAUUCCUUAGGGUUCCUUCUGAUCUUUUCUGUGAGUGCCAGGUAGAGUUCAUGGAAGAAGAGCCUAUGAGACAAUGUGGACCCCCCCCCCCCAGUAUCUUUGGUCCCAAGGGUUCACAGUUUUUGCCAUUCUGGAGUCUGCCUUCACCUGUUUGCUGGCUAUACCAGCUGUACUACCUCAGGUGGGCUUAUGUCACCUCUCCUUUUUCCUGCAGGGAAGACUUUGGAUCAUUUGUUUCCUUUGCAACCUUAGGUCUCCUGUGGAUUCACAUGAAGUCUUAAAUUUGAAGCCAGUUUUAUUCUUUUUUUGCUGCAAGGAUGGAAGAAAUAACUUUUUCCAGGUCUCUGCAUCUUGAGGCAAAAGUCUUCAUGUUUCUUAAACACCAACUUCAAGAUCUAUUAAGUUAAGCCAAGUGGUGGUUAUGUUUAUUCUGACCUCUGCACAUGAAUGACUUAUCCUGAAAAUACAUGAUAGUGUGAUAAUGACUUGAGACCUCCCAAAGCACUCUGAAAAAUUCAGUUUAAAGAACGUAGUUUGUUUUGUUGGAUUUGGACUUCUAUUUGAAGUAAGGAGAGACAACCAAGCAACUUAAGCCUAGAUUCUCCUAAAGUAUUAGGUAAGUAAGAAAAACAGUCUUGUUAGAAGGAAUUCUUCUACAAGCACAUGAGCUAUAGUAAGUUUGAUUCAUAGGUAAAGCUUACUACUUGUUAAGCUUCAGGAUGGAAAAUGCUUUGUAUUUAUAAUUUAUACUCUUUCUACGUCCAAACAAGGGAGCAUAUUCUUUCAGUGAAAAAUUAUAUAUGCCUGAAUUGAGGUCAACCUGGUCUGAUGAGAGUAUAGAAGUAGGCCAAAAACACCCAUAAAGGGUGAAAUUAAAAACUUUCUAGAAGAAAAUGUAGGAAAUAUCUUGUGACCUAGAAUGUAGAAGUCUUAAACAUUACCAGCCAUUCCCCCUACCCAGCAUGAACCAUUAUGCAGAAAAUAGAUGAAUUUUACUAUAUCAAAAUCAUGGAUUUAUUUUAAAAAGACAAGACAAACAAAUUUAAUAGACAAAUGGUAGUUUGGAAGGAGAUAUUCAUAAAGUCUAAAACUGAUAGGGGACUCAUCUUUUUAGACUAUGCAGGGAAGUCCUACAAAUCAACAACAGAACAAUCAGGGUGUCAGUUAAUCUUUUGUAUAACAAAUUACCCCAAAAUGUAGUGACUUAAGACAAUAAUAAGCACAUAUUAUCUCUUACAGUCUCUAUAGGUUAGAAGUUUGGGAGUGACUUAGCCGUUUCUGGGUCAGGGUCUCAUGAUAUUGCAGUCAUGCAUGUUGGCCACGGUUGCAGGUACUCGAAGGCUUGACUUCACGUUCUAGAAGAUCCACUUCUAAAAAGACUCUCUCACUUGCCAGAGGACCAGCAAGUUGGUGCUGGCUGGUAGCUAUUUCUUACCUUGUGUACCUCCCCAUAAUGUUCCUUAAAUGUCCUCAGGACAUGUCAGCGGGCUUCCCCCAGAGCAAGUCAUGUAAGGGAAUAAAGUAGAACAGCAAUAUCUUUUAUGACCUACUCUGAGAAUUUACACACUGUAAUUUCCUUAAUAUCCAGUUGGUUACGCAGAUCUGCCCUACCCAGUGUGGAAGGAAACUACACAAAGACGUUAAUGUGAGGCAAGGAUCACUGUGGGCCGUCUUAUAGAUUCACUAAGUCCACAAAUUCUAAUUUUUUUUUAAAGAUAAAAUAUGUUUGAAUAGGCAAUUUAUAGAAGAAAACCCCCAAGAGCUAAGAGCUAUAUUAAGAUAAACUUACCAGAAAGAUGUUAAAGGAAGAUGCUUCUUUAUACCUGUUUAGUUGGCAAACAUUUGUUUUGAUAAUGACAGGCAUUCAAAGACAUGUGAAGAUAUUGGAACCAACCCUGUGCACUGUUGGAGUGUGAACGGAUACAGCCAUCUUAGGAGAGAAUCUGGUAGGUAGUACCUCGUCAAAUUAAGAAUGUCUCACUCGAGUGUAAAAUCAAAGGAAUGGUUGCAGAAGACCUUAGAGGGAUGUAUUAGACAAACUCAGUUUUCCACCUGUUUCUCAUGUAGAACACUUUACUUCUAUUUACCAAAUGUGUAGAAGUUUUUUCCCACACCAAGCAGUUUCCUGUGACACCAGUUGGGUGUCCCCCAAUUUAACUCCAUUCUCACUACCUGGAGAUAGUAUCAGACCCACAGGUUAAGGGCUCCAUCCCACAAAACUGUGCCCACCCUACCUCAGAUACCAACAGUAAGUGAUAGGUCCCCAGGUUACAAAUUAUGUCUGAUUUGGUUACAAAAUUAAAGGUUCCCACAAUAUCCUCAGAUUCAAUUAAUUUGCUAGAGUGGUUCACAGAACUCAGAGAAACACUUAUGUUUACCAGUUUAUUAAAGGAUAUGAUAAAGGAUACAGCUGAACAGCCAGAUGAAGAGAUACAUAGGGCAAGGUCUGGGAGGGUCCUGAGCACAAGAGCUUUUAUCCUUGUGGAGUUGGGGUGCCUCACCCUCCCAGUGUGAAUGUGUUCGGCCAACUCGAAGCUCUCUGAAUCUUUUACUAUUGAGAUUUUCUGAAGACUUGCUCAUCAUAGGCAUGAUUCUAUUUCUAGUCCCUCUCCCCUUUCUAGAGGAUGAGGUGUGGUACUGAAAAUUCCAAACUUCUAAUCAUAGCUCAGUCUUUCUGGUGACCAGCAGCCAACUAAGAACCAUCCAGAAUCACCUCAGUAGAACAAAAGAUGCUCUUAGUGUUCUUAUCACUUAGGAAUUUCUAAGAGUUUUAGGAUCCCUGUGUCAAGAACUGAGGACAAGGACCAAUUUUUUUAUUAUUAUUUUAUAGGGGAUGGUUGUGAGGUUGCCUUUGCUAUAUUGUUUGUGGUAACAGGAGUUGGAAGCGAUCUGGCCAUUUUCAUUGGUAGGGUUACAAGGUACUGUACAGCAAUUAGAUAAACAUGACAAUAUGGAUAGGUCUUUAAUACAGUUCUGAAUCAAAAAAUUGGAUCUCAGUUAUUUCCUUCGUAGUUUCUGCUGUUUUUCAUUUUUAUUUGGCUACCUAUUGACGUUACAAACUUAACAUGUCUAAACCAAAACUCCCAGUUUUAUAUCCACUACCAAACACCAACUACCACAACUGGGCUGCUGACAGUAAAAACCCAAUCUUCUUCCAAUCUUCCAUCUCAGUUAAUGUCAUUACUACCAAUCCAGUUGCUAAGCAAAAAAUCCUAGGAAUCAUCUUUGCUUCCUCUUUCUGUCCAUGCCUACACUAGUAACAAAUAUCAUGUCUCAGUGACAAGUCCUGUCCCCUCUACCUCCACAGUACAUCCUGGCGCCUGGGAUUCUGCAUAUUGAACCAGCAACUCACAUUGAUUCUGAUGCAGGAGAUUCAUGGAUCACACGUUGAGAAGCCCUAAGAAACACUUUGUCCUGGCUUUUAAUUGAUUCUCUGAAGAGAGGCAAGCUGAGGACCACAUUCUGCAGACCCUCUUAUAGUUGAGAUUCUAUGUGUGACACUUGGGACAUGGAAACGAACAUCAUGAGGCAGCGGCCAUGUGACUUUUCUGACAAGCACCAUCAUGGAGUGAGCCUGAGUGUUGGGAGUAUCCACUUAAAAUGCCCUGUGAGGCUAGUCAUCUCCGUGUGAGCAGUUCCUCUCUCCAGCAAAUUAACAUUGCAGUAAGAAGUGGUCUCUCCUGGCUCUCACUGUAAUAGUUAAGUUUUGGGAGCGUCAAAAUUAUAUUCAACUUUUCGGCUGUGUGGGAGGUUGAAACCCCCAACCCCUAUGUUGUUCAAGGGUCAACCAUAUUGUUAUUUGGGUUUAUUAACACCGACUCUAAUCAAUAUUAAAGGGAUAAACAACCAAAAGGUAGUCAGUUACCAUUGCCAGAUGCUAAAAUAUGAAUACUGCACUUUCGCACCAGUUGGUGAAUGGCACCUAGUUUACUGCCCUGAGCCCUCAGGUACCUCCUGCUUCUUCCCUGACUUCCUGCGACCCUUCCUUGGGACCUCUCAUGUUGGAUCUCCUAAUUAUUGAGCACCUAAAAUGACUGGCACAGUUGGGGCCUCCAGAAAGCUGUUCCAGCUCUGUAACCAGCAUUUGAUCUGACUGGGACCAUAGUGGUUAUGAAGUCUACAUAUAUUUCAUUUCAAGACAAACUUCUCCCGAAUUUAUUUCUUUGGACUUAACUCCAAAAUAAAGCUAACUUCAUUGUGUUUUGCUUCAAAUUACUGUUUACUUCAUCUGCAUUUUUUCCCUCAAAAAGCCAUAUAAGCAAGGAGAGGACUCUGCCACUAAGACAAAUGUGAGUAUGUGCAGUGCAGUGCUGAGAAAGCUUUUCACUUUUUUUGAGUCUGAUUCCCACAAUACUCCUAGCUACUUUCACUGUUACAGUUAAAAGAAUGUGAAUUUCCCACAUUUCUGUCUCUUUUCUAUGCCUGUGUUUUUACUAUUUUCUCCAUCGAUUUGGCUGAUCUUUACAGUUCCUCCCAAAUUGACUAACUUAAUCCUGCUAUUUUUACUAACUAGCUUUCAGAAUGGAUCCCCACUAUGAAGAAUACGACCACCUGAACAAGGGGUAAAGGGAAGCAAAAUAAGAAGCGUAUUCCAUAUUGUCAUAACUAUGCAAAACUAAUGUGUCAGACUGGCUUCUCCAAAUGCAGGCUCCAAAACAGGAUGGAAAGUAUAAGGAUUAGAUUAGAAGAGAAGCCUGUGAGAAAAAAUGGGGAGGUAUGAGAGAAAAAUGGGGGGUGGGUGGGAGAAAGACCACAAAGUAAGCUUGAUCCCGAGUUAUGGGGAGAGGGAAGUAGGUUGGGUGGAAGCAUCCUAGACUACUGUGUACUCUAAGGAAGUUUUGGCAAGGCUGUAGGGGAGUCCUUAAGCCAAAGUCUGUCAUUAGAGGAGUCUUGUUUCUCAGAAAUGGACCUGCCUUGGUAUUUCCAUUGUCUUCAGUUACUGGCUGAAAAACAUGGCCUCAUGGCACAAAUGGGGUGAUGGAUUUUGGCAUGCAGAUCCUGGGCUCCUGGUCUAUUUCACUGCUUGUAGUUGGAAAUCUACAAAGUAUGCCACCCUUCUUUUCCAGGUAGCCCCCCAAAUUCCUCCUGGAAGAACAAGUUACUGGCUUCAGCCUCUAAUUUGGCUGAGAUCUGAAGCUGCAGGCACAUCAAAUCAUAUACACAUCCACAAAAGUAAAAGAUAAAACAAUUUGCAAAGCUGUGAUGCAUCCUCAAGCUGUUUUCAUGAGGAAGCAAUGAGAUAAAUAUACACAAUGGCACCAAAAUAGACUACAAAUAAGUACUCUAAGCAUACACAAAUAUAGUACACACAGGUGCAUAGGAUAUAAGGGAAGUCAACUUUCUCUCUCUGUCCAGGCUGCAAAGUACCAAUAAACAAGACAUAGGAACACUAUAGUUUUGGGCCUGAGUGGGAGGAAAGAAAGGAAAAUGCAUUUGUCAAGAUCCUAGUUUUGUGCCAGCACUGUGGUAUGUGGUUUCAUGAUGCUAACUUCAAAUAUAUAGUACUAUGUAAGCUACUUAUUGAAUACCCAGAACAACCUUUCAGGUAGGUGUUAUUAUUCCUGCUUUACAGACAAACAGGAUUCAAGGAGGUUUUAGAUUCAAAACUAAAUAACUUGUCUAAGGUCACGCAUCUAGUAAAUAAUAGAUCCAGAAUACAUUCCCAGUCUUCUAGUAGGGAAGUAAGGGGAGAAGGGCAUUCUUGGGCAUUCUCUGUACAUACAUUUUUAUUUAUUUUUCCCCCAAAGUAUCUUCAGCCUUCUAAGUUUUGUAGCUGAGGGUAUUUUAUAUUGUGGUUUUGGCUCAACCCUAUCCACCUCACAGUGUGGGACCAAUCCUCUCACCAAAGGUACUCUUUAAGGAGCAAAGGGGAAGGGCUCAAAAUCAAGUUGGUCUCUUUCCCUAUCUUGGCAUGUGGGGCCAAUGACUGAUCCUUUUCUGUGUUCCAGUUUCAGGGAGUGGUCCCUGCCUUGGUUACCUGUCCAGUCCUCUAGUCCUAUUGUGACAGCACCACUGCUUUGACCCCUUCCAGUCUUUGGGAUGCUUAGAGUGCUUUCCCAGUGUGGGCCCUUCUUUACAUCUCCUGCCCUCAGACUUCCAGUUUUUUUCUGCCCUUUACUUCUGAGGGCUCCUUGCAUGGCUGAUCCAUCCUUGUGAAUUUAGGGGGAAUUCAGACCAUCCUUAAUCUCUACAUUUCUUUGCUAAUCAAAGCUUUGUUACCACACUUUAUUCAGAGUCUCAAUCUCCAUGCAACAAUGACUCCCAUUAGCAAAUAAACAUAUUCAAAUUGUUCCGCCAUCAUUAUUUCUUGGCUUAUGAACAUAGGGCUUCCUGGUAUCCAUCUUGUCCAAAUUAAAGCCCAUCUUUGGUUCAGGAAUAAUUAUAGAUGCAAUUUACUGAUCACUUUGCAUACAUUAUCUCAGUUCACCAACAUAACAGAUAGAUAUGUUCUACAGAAAAGGAAAUUGAGAUGUGGAAUAGAUUUGAUUCUCUGGAAGCAGACAUUGAGAUAGAGUAGCAAUCAGCACCUGUGAAAGUAAGGGGCCAGAAGCACGAUUUUUGGGCAGAGGAAGAAGUCAAACUCUGACAUAACCUUGGCUGACAACCUGGAGCUCUGGGUCAAGUAUUGCCCAUCAGCCCCAAAUGGCCAGCCUUUUUUACAUUUUCCUUGCUCCAUCACUGAAUGCAGGCUGUCAUGGAAAAUCAUGACCUUGGACAAGGUGAGUCUCAACCUGGCAGUCACUAAAGAAGUUUACACCUGGAAGCUGUCUGCCAGCUGCAUUCCCCACAGCCAAGAGCAAAUAUGUCCUUGAAGUGGCACCCAAGUGGUACAUCUCUGUGUCUACUACAGACUCUAAGAAUCCAUGAAUUUAUUAAAGAGUCUACAGCUAAUAAGCGGCAAAGAUUUGGUACCAAGUCUUUUGUGACUCAAAAUCCGUGUCUCCCACCAAUUCAUGCUUGUUUUCCAAAUAUCCAUUCGAAUCAGCUAUCAGAAUCCCUUUGGGAAAUUCCUGUGAGAAUCUCCUUCAGUGGACAUAGAUGAGAUCCGGGAAUCCCAACCAGUGUAUAAAAAGUGCCAAGACUGAUACUACAGUGAAAGCAUAUUUGGAAACCAUUGCUACCACGAACAUUGAUGAGGAGAAGACACCAAGCGGAACAGAAAAAGUUUUAAAUGCUGGACUACAUUUGUGGCAGAAGCUAUGCAGUUUUUUGGGGGGUGCAAAAAGUUUUUAAACCAAGAUUCCCUCUGGGCUGAUGUUGUCUAAUAUCGGUGGUAAGCUCUCUCUAGGGUCCUACAUCUGUUUUGUGUUUGCUGUUUCUCUGACCCCCCCCCGACGUAAAAAUAUUGGAGAAAGCACAGCUGCUUCAUGAUCCAUGAAAGCAACUGAAUCUGUAAGUGAACUGAAGAAUUUGCCCUGUAUGUAGCUCCUAAGAUGUUUGGAAAUGAAUUUCAAGAGGCCCAAUUCUACAUGGCUUUUUGUCUUUCACAAUAAAAUUGGAGAUAGAUUCAUGUUUUUAAAAUUGUUCCUAGAACACAAUGCACUUUUUUAAAUGUAGUAAAUUCUUUGAAACUGUAGUAAAUUCUUUAGAUUUGCACAUUUAUUAAUUUAUUUUAGUACAAUUUUUCAAUCAAACAGUACAUGAUUAUAAUGGGACAAGGGUCAGAAUAGAAACGUAAUUGCUAGAUGAGGUAGAAAUUUAAAGCAAAAUUGACUUGUAGCUGAGCUAACAAACUUUGGAGCCAGGCUUCCUUCAUUUUUUUUUUUAAUUUUUAUGAGAAUGAAGACAGGAGACAGAUUCUGAGGGAGGGUUCUGUCUACAGCGGGCUUCUCAGGACUCCA